CACGCCCCAAACCUGAGGCAUAACAGACGGCGCAUAUCUACUAAAUAAGAUUUUCAUACAAUCGAAAUAUUUUUCUAAUUUAUCUUACGAAAAACUAACGGGUGCCCGGUCGCUUACCUUAACGCAGCUUCAAAGAUAGAAAAUUAUCCAGUCGAAACUCUGUAAAAAAUCAAUUAUCGGAACCUAAAAUAGAGACAUGCGAUUCUCUAUAAGCUAACUAAAAUGAACAU
rnacentral:lncRNA from 1 species